ACAUGCAAGUCGAACGAACCUUCGGGUUAGUGGCGGACGGGUGAGUAACGCGUGGGAAUCUGCCCUCAGGAGGGGGAUAACGGUUGGAAACGGCCGCUAAUACCCCAUAUGCCGAGAGGUGAAAUGAAUUUCGCCUGAGGAUGAGCCCGCGUCUGAUUAGCUAGUUGGUGAGGUAAGAGCUCACCAAGGCAUCGAUCAGUAGCUGGUCUGAGAGGAUGAUCAGCCACACUGGGACUGAGACACGGCCCAGACUCCUACGGGAGGCAGCAGUGGGGAAUUUUCCGCAAUGGGCGAAAGCCUGACGGAGCAACGCCGCGUGAGGGAUGAAGGCCUCUGGGCUGUAAACCUCUUUUAUCAAGGAAGAAGAUCUGACGGUACUUGAUGAAUAAGCCACGGCUAAU
rnacentral:rRNA from 1 species